AAUAGAUACCCGGGUAGUCCACGCCGUAAACGAUGAGUGCUAAGUGUUAGAGGGUUUCCGCCCUUUAGUGCUGAAGUUAACGCAUUAAGCACUCCGCCUGGGGAGUACGGCCGCAAGGCUGAAACUCAAAGGAAUUGACGGGGGCCCGCACAAGCGGUGGAGCAUGUGGUUUAAUUCGAAGCAACGCGAAGAACCUUACCAGGUCUUGACAUCCUCUGACAACCCUAGAGAUAGGACUUCUCCUUCGGGAGCAGAGUGACAGGUGGUGCAUGGUUGUCGUCAGCUCGUGUCGUGAGAUGUUGGGUUAAGUCCCGCAACGAGCGCAACCCUUGAUCUUAGUUGCCAUCAUUUAGUUGGGCACUCUAAGGUGACUGCCGGUGACAAACCGGAGGAAGGUGGGGAUGACGUCAAAUCAUCAUGCCCCUUAUGACCUGGGCUACACACGUGCUACAAUGGACGGUACAAAGAGCUGCAAGACCGCGAGGUGGAGCUAAUCUCAUAAAACCGUUCUCAGUUCGGAUUGUAGGCUGCUAAC
rnacentral:rRNA from 1 species